UUUUUUCCCCCCUCCCCUCCCUCCCCGGCUUCCUUUCUUUGUAGCCACCUCAGGGGAAGCAACAGAUCGUCACUCGGUGUUCUCACCGAAAGCACGUAAUCGCCGGUGUAACUCAUGUUGGCUGGGGGGCCUCCCCGCGCGCAGAAAGGCUGGGGUGCGCCCCCAAGCAACUCUCCUGUGCUCAGCUACAUGGUCCUGGUCCACGAGUGCGCUGAGGUCGGCGAGAGAGGGCAACUCCCGACGCCUCCCCCCCCCACUCCCCGGUGGGUGAAGGAUGCUCUGGGCUGGGGAUGGCCAGGUGAAAGCCCGGAACUGUGUGACUCCAGGUCUCGGAGUCUGUUAUCCGAAGGCUUACGUUCGCCACCUCCUUCUUCGCCCCCACCCCCAGGCUUGCUCUCAGACCCAGGCUGGACCCCAUUUGGGGCCAGGCUUCGCAGCCGUGGAUGUGCCGGCCUCGUGGCUUGUCCGAUUUGCACGGUGACUUGAUUACACGCUCUCAUUCAUGGUCACUUCCGAAGCGCUUUAGUGCCUUCCGUCCCCAAACCGCCAACAGGCAGAGCAGCUUUCCUCCGCGGUUUGUCAAUAAUCCGCGCGGUCCGGAAGGGCCUUCGCCUCACCCGGGUUCCACCUUCCCUGUAUCUUUUUGCUUACUUCCCUUGGAGGAACCCCCUUCUCCUCGCUGCCUGUAGGGGUUCGGAGGGACUCCGCAGAGCCAGAGGCCCUGGGACGGCACUUCUGCUCACCGGUCCGCAAGCUGCCUAGUCUGCUGAAGCUGACGAAUCGGGAAACCAGGCAAUUGAGGCGAACCUUGGGCUGUUUUAGAGGCGCUGACAUCCGAGGAGCCUUCUCCUGGGAGGCCGAAGGUCGAUCUCAGCCCACCAGGCUCUGGGAAAGACCGGACUAGGGAUAAGACCACACCGGAAGGCCAAGUCCGAGUUCCAUUCCUAGGAGAGGCGGCUGCCGGCAAGGCUAUGACAUUGGCCCUGGACAUUGGUUUCUGAGGAGGAGCUGUUCUUUCUCAAGAACUCCACAGCGCGGGCUGUCUCCAGAAAACACUCCUCAACGUUUAUUUCCUUUAAUCGUCAACCCGGAGCCCUACGGCGGCUAAUGCAAGAGGCCAAAAAUGUUUGGAGGAAGAAAAACAAAGGCAGGAAGUGGCCGCGGCCUGACGGUGCGUGUGUGUCUGUAAAGAAGGGAGGGAGCCGGUUCAAUCUCCUCUUGUUUUUCCCAACUUCAAGGUCUAGGCAGACCCUCUUAGCGCUUGGCCAAGGCUCCUGGCCCAGCGUUUGGAGGUGGCCAACGAGUUAGCCUUGUCGGGCUGAAAAGCUGAGAAGGAAAUUUGAUCAGCAAAACAAACCAAGCCUUUUGGAGGUUUCUUCUGAUUUGGUCCCGAAAGGGUGAAGGGUCUAUUGCUAUCCGCAGAGGCUGCUGUUUUCCUCCCGUCGGGCUUAACCGCCUCAAGAAGGGAGGGAGAUUCCGGCACCCUUCUCUCCCUCCACCCUCCUUUCCGAGGUAGAAUACCAGAAUAAAGUGUGUCCAGGUGCCUCUGUGGAAUCUGCUUUUUCUUGCAGUUGGAGGUGUAUGGGGCAGUGGUAGAAGAGAACCGCGGGGAAGCUGCCUAGGGUGCCUGUGGCUUUGAAAGGAUCACUUUGUAGAAAGGCAAUGUAAGGCCUUGUCACCAGGGUGUCUGUGCCAGGGGGGGUUUCCAACGCAGUCGUCAUUCAAGAGACGAGCUGCCAGCACUGUCACUCGGUAGGCUACAUAGUGCUAUGCCCCUUCAGGGGAAACCAGACAUGGGCAUGGGCACUCCUAAACUCCAGCACCAACUGGAAAGGCUGCAAGGCUCUAUUGCCUUCUCUGGUUGCUUGGGAGGCAGCCGCUGCCAGAUAUCCCUAACUCGGGGGAAUCUGAAACCCCCAUUGCAGGUCUUGGAAGGCUCAGCAUGGCAUCCAUAAUGUGAAUGUUCAACCAAGCUACCCCCCCCCCCACCUCCAGUGCCUGCUCAAGCUUUUCUGUCCCCAGGCAGCUCCUGCUGGUCUGCUUGCCUCCUAUCUUGCCUCUUAGCCUUUCUCAGGCUUCCUCCCUCCCUUUCCUGCUCUCUCCCUGUGCCUGAGCAGGAGCUGGGGUGUUGAAGUGCCCCAGGAGGAACCUACUAGGCAGGUUUGGAGAAAGGGGUCUAUUAAGUUUCUGACUUGCCCAAUUUGGGCCUCCACCAGAGACCUGAACUGGAUUUCUUUACCUCGCUCAAUGAGUACCACAUUCCAAGCACAGCCUCCUCCCUUCUUCCUUCCCCCAAGAAUAUUUGCUUCUUUCCUGAGCGCAUCUCCUUUUUUUUUUUUUCCAUUCUGAGUAAUCCCAAGCGCCCGGCAUGGGUUGGACCCACCAGACUGACCAGGUCUUGCUCUCAGUUGUCUACAGCUGCUGUUCAGUGGAUUGAUUAAAACACCAUAAAUAUCUCACCCUC